rnacentral:lncRNA from 1 species
AUAAAUCAUCUGGGGCUCUGAAUAAAGUUGGCUAUUGCGUGACACUUCAGUCCACCUCAUUUAUUGGCUCCCUUCUCCCAGGUCCCACAGCCUCUAGUGCAGUGAUAGAGGUGAUUUUGUUAGAAAGCAGAAACCAGGAGGUUAGGAGUGAGCUACUUUUCACAUACCUUUAUUUGGACCUGACAGAAUCCUAUCUCCCAUCAGGUCUAGGUUUGGGUUAUGGUGCUAAAGCCAAGUCCCAUCUGCCACACUGAGUCUUCCGCUUACUGCCUUAGGCUACACUGGCAGCUGAGCUGUUUGGUGCUGAUAUGUGCAGCCUCUUUUCCAGACAGAUCUUAGGGUAGAGGUCAGCAAUCUCCUUAAAGCCCAGACAGGAAAUAUUUGAGCUUUGUAAGUUACUUGGUCUCUUGUAACUACACAACUUGGUCACUACUGUACAAAACAAGCCACAGGUGAUAUAGAACAUGUGGGCAUAGCUAUCUUCAGAACAACACUAUCACUCCAUACCAUAGUUUCCCAGUGACAUGAAAGAUCUUUCUGUUUGGCAGUGCUGAGAAUUGAACACAGGCCUUUCACACACUCAACAGAUGUUUAGUCAUUGAGCUACAGCCCCAGACUCUUUUGGACAGGGUCUAGAUAUGUAGCUCAGGCUAAAAUUAAGUAGUCAAGUUGGCCUUGAACUCUGGAUCCUACUGCCUCUACCUCCUGAGUGCUUGGAGUACAUAUAUAUGCUACCAUGCCUAGCUUAUACUCUGUGUUUAGGUAUUUAAAAUAUAGAACACACUCUUAGCUUGUAAGCUCGAUGCAGAAUAUGCCAGGGCUAAUGCUACCGCUAGAGGGCUCUGUUCAGCAACCCUUGCCCAAGAGCAUUCAGUGUAGAGUCUCUGUGAGGUUAGGAGCAGUCUCACUGCAAUGCUGACUUACCUGCAGCAUGGACGACUAGCCCCAGGGUGGUGGUGAUUUUGGAACUGCUGGGCCUUGCUGUUUCUGGAUCUACAGAGAAUGAGAAGGUAUCACUAAGUAGUAUGACAUAAAAGGAAAAGAAACACCUGUCUGAAGAUGGUCCAUUUCUUAUGAUCAUUGUUAUUUUAGAGCUGGAGUCUCACUGGGCACCCCUGGCUGGCCUUGAUCUCCAAAUCCACAUCUCAGCUUCCCAAGCGCUGGGAUUAAGGCUGUAUAACACCGCAUCCAGCUAUCUACAGAUUCUGAAAGCUCAGACUUUGAACUGCUUUCCUCACUGCUCUCUUCUCUUCAAUGCUCUCCUUGUACUAAAGAAGUGGGUGUGAGGGAACUCUUGCCCGGGCUUCCCUGCAUAGCUCUGAAAUGCAUAAGCCCAGCUGCCUGGACUCCUCAGUCUGCAGAAAGUGCUCUACAGGCUCUGGUUACUUCUAACUCCUGCGACUGUUUUCAUGCAACCUCGGUCAUAUUUUUCUUUCUAUACUAUGCAGCUAUUUUCACCAAUUUAAACCCAAGUUACAACAGUUUCCUACUGCUUUGCUCACUUUCCCCAAAUCACUCAGCUGGAAGUGUCACAGACAUCUUUAAAAGGCACCACCCUUCUGCUGUCUCUUUUAAAGAGCUCUGAUCUUUAUCCUAUGCUAUUGGGUAGGUUUUCUCCUUUGGCGUUGAGGAUUGAACUUGGGACUUGUCCAUGCAUUUGAGCACUCACUCUCCACUGGGUUAUAAUGCCCAGCCUCAAGGGUCAGACUGGCCUUGAACUUACUCUAAAGACCACACAGGCCUUGCAUUUGUGGCUUCCCUGCCUCAGCCGGAGUAGCUGGGAUUACAGGCCACAUCACCAUACCUGGCUUGAGGACGGUUCUUAAACUAUGUAUUAGCUGUCUCCAAGUAUUUCUCAGUUUCUAGACCAGUUAACAUAGUUUCUCUAGCACUUUCUAACCAUUCUUGCCCUCCUUUCCCCCAAGAACUUGUAGUUCUUGGCAAGCUUACCCAGAUUAUCAACCCAAAACCUAGACACUGUUCCAAGUCAAAUCCUAGGACCACAUCAAUCAAGAAAGGAUCAGAAAAUAAUCUCAGCUCAAAACAAUUGCCCCCUGGCUCAACCAAGAUUCUGUGUAGGGGAGACCAAUGUGCCACUUCUGUAUCACUGUCCUCCAUCCCUAGAUUGGCUGUAACCAAUUCCCCGUAUUUCUUUCUCUUCCUUUUUACAGUCUCAUAGAAUAUGGUGCAGCACUAGGCACCCCCCAUGUUGCUUUAUAAGCUCUCUCCAUGAAUAUAUUACUGUCUUUAUAGGAAACAAGUAGGGGUUGGGGCAGGGCACGAAGGUCCACCCCUAGCUAAGGAGCUAUCAGCCUUUGGUAGUUCCUGGGAGAGGAAGGGUCAGUUUUCUUUAAGGGUGUUACUCCUAGUAGGUGAACUACUCCCCAAAGCAGCCUCUACAGCCCACACCCAGAGUACUGAGCAUCACAAACCAGGCUCCUGGAGGAGCGAGGGGUGAGAAAGAAUACACAAGAUCUUGGAGAAGCUGAAGGGGUGAAUAUAAUCAAAAUACAUUAUAUACAUUUAUCAAAGAAUUAAUAAAAAUAUUUUUAAUACGUUAGGGAUUUAAACAUAGUGCUUUUGGAGCCAGAGGUGGAUCAGCAGUUAAGAGCACCCAUUGCUCUUGCAGAGGAGCCAAUAAAGUUCUAUUCCCAGCACCAACAUCUGAUGGUUC